GUAACGAAUAUUCCACAAUGUGCGAAAGCAUGAUGGAGCGAUGCCGCGUGCAGGAUGAAGCCCUUCGGGGUGUAAACUGCUGUCAGGGGUUACCAACCCAAUGAGGAGCCCCAAAGGAAGAGACGGCUAACUCUGUGCCAGCAGCCGCGGUAAUACAGAGGUCUCUAGCGUUAAUCGGAAUCACUGGGCUUAAAGGGUGCGUAGGCCGUCCCGUAAGUGCUUUGUGAAAUCCCAUGGCUUAACCAUGGAAUGGCUCGGCAUACUGCGGGACUUGAGGUCGGUAGGGGCCGCUGGAACUCUAGGUGGAGCGGUGAAAUGCGUAGAUAUCUAGAGGAACGCCAAAGGUGAAGACAGGCGGCUGGGCCGAUUCUGACGCUGAGGCACGAAAGCGUGGGGAGCGAACGGGAUUAGAUACCCCUGUAGUCC
rnacentral:rRNA from 1 species